CCCUUAGAUGUCCUGGGCCGCACGCGCGCCACACUGAGUGUCUGAGAUACGAGUCUGCCUAGCCGGCGAGGUCUAGGUAAUCGCUGAAAGACACAUCAUGCUUGGGAUAGAUUAUUGCAGAUAUUAAUCUUGAACGAGGAAUUCCUAGUAAGCGCAAGUCAACAGCUUGCGUUGAUUACGUCCCUGCCCUUUGUACACACCGCCCGUCGCUCCUACCGAUUGAAUGAUCCGAUGAAUAUCAUAGACUGAGAGUAUAAGCAGGUUCGCCUGUCUUUGCUUCUCGGGAAGUGAAGUAAAUCUUAUCAUUUAGAGGAAGGAGAAGUCGUAACA
rnacentral:rRNA from 1 species